GGUGCCUUCGGGAACUCUGAGACAGGUGCUGCAUGGCUGUCGUCAGCUCGUGUUGUGAAAUGUUGGGUUAAGUCCCGCAACGAGCGCAACCCUUAUCCUUUGUUGCCAGCGGUCCGGCCGGGAACUCAAAGGAGACUGCCAGUGAUAAACUGGAGGAAGGUGGGGAUGACGUCAAGUCAUCAUGGCCCUUACGAGUAGGGCUACACACGUGCUACAAUGGCGCAUACAAAGAGAAGCGAACUCGCGAGAGCAAGCGGACCUCAUAAAGUGCGUCGUAGUCCGGAUUGGAGUCUGCAACUCGACUCCAUGAAGUCGGAAUCGCUAGUAAUCGUAGAUCAGAAUGCUACGGUGAAUACGUUCCCGGGCCUUGUACACACCGA
rnacentral:rRNA from 1 species